rnacentral:rRNA from 1 species
GUCUAGCCUGCCCAGUGAUAAAUUCAACGGCCGCGGUAUCCUAACCGUGCGAAGGUAGCAUAAUCACUUGUUCUUUAAAUAGGGACUCGUAUCAACGGCAUCACGAGGGUUACACUGUCUCCUCCCUCCAAUCAGUGAAACUGAUCCCCCCGUGAAGAAGCGGGGAUGAACUAAUAAGACGAGAAGACCCCAUGGAGCUUUAAAUCUCACAGCAACUCUAACACUUAAUCCCUCACAACCCACAGAGCAAUGCAUGUCGGUUUUAGGUUGGGGUGACCGCGGAGCAAAAAUUACCCUCCACGACGAAAAGAACUAAGCCUUUAUCUAAGAGCAACUCCUCUAAGAACUAGUAUACUAACGAACAAUGACCCGAUAAUCGAUCAACGGACCAAGUUACCCUGGGGAUAACAGCGCAAUCUACUUCAAGAGCCCAUAUCGACAAGUAGGCUUACGACCUCGAUGUUGGAUCAGGGUACCCCGGUGGUGCAGCAGCUACUAACGGUUC